rnacentral:rRNA from 1 species
CGUGGGUAACCUGCCCAAGAGAUCGGGAUAACACCUGGAAACAGAUGCUAAUACCGGAUAACAACAGAUGAUGCCUAUCAACUGUUUAAAAGAUGGUUCUGCUAUCACUCUUGGAUGGACCUGCGGUGCAUUAGCUAGUUGGUAGGGUAACGGCCUACCAAGGCGAUGAUGCAUAGCCGAGUUGAGAGACUGAUCGGCACAUUGGGACUGAGACACGGCCCAAACUCCUACGGGAGGCAGCAGGC